GAUGAACGCUGGCGGCGUGCCUAAUACAUGCAAGUCGAGCGAACGGACGAGAAUCUUGCUUCUCUGAUGUUAGCGGCGUACGGGUGAGUAACACGUGGAUAACCUACCUAUAAGACUUGUAUAACUUCGGGAAACCGGAGCUAAUACCGGAUAAUAUUUUGAACCGCAUGGUUCAAAAGUAAAAGACGGUCUUGCUGUCACUUAUAGAUGGAUCCGCGCUGCAUUAGCUAGUUGGUAAGGUAACGGCUUACCAAGGCAACGAUGCAUAGCCGACCUGAGAGGGUGAUCGGCAACACUAGAACUGAGACACGGUCCAGACUCCUAAGGGAGGCAGCAGUAGGGCAUCUUCAGCAAUGGGAGAAAGCCUGACGGAGCAACGGCGCGUGAGUGAGGAAGAUUUUCGAAUCGUAAAACUCUGUUAGUAAGGAAGAACAUAUGUGUAAGGAACUGUGCAAAUCUUAACGGUACCAAAUCAGAAAGCCACGGCUAACUAAGUG
rnacentral:rRNA from 1 species